GGUUAAGCGACUAAGCGUACACGGUGGAUGCCCUGGCAGUCAGAGGCGAUGAAGGGCGUGCUAAUCUGCGAUAAGCGCCGGUAAGGUGAUAUGAACCGUUAUAACCGGCGAUACCCGAAUGGGGAAACCCAGUGUGAUUCGUCACACUAUCAUUAACUGAAUCCAUAGGUUAAUGAGGCGAACCGGGGGAACUGAAACAUCUAAGUACCCCGAGGAAAAGAAAUCAACCGAGAUUCCCCCAGUAGCGGCGAGCGAACGGGGAGGAGCCCAGAGCCUGAAUCAGCAUGUGUGUUAGUGGAAGCGUCUGGAAAGGCGCGCGAUACAGGGUGACAGCCCCGUACACAAAAGCGCAUGUGCUGUGAGCUCGAUGAGUAGGGCGGGACACGUGGUAUCCUGUCUGAAUAUGGGGGGACCAUCCUCCAAGGCUAAAUACUCCUGACUGACCGAUAGUGAACCAGUACCGUGAGGGAAAGGCGAAAAGAACCCCGGCGAGGGGAGUGAAAAAGAACCUGAAACCGUGUACGUACAAGCAGUGGGAGCACAGGUUUACCUGUGUGACUGCGUACCUUUUGUAUAAUGGGUCAGCGACUUAUAUUCUGUAGCAAGGUUAACCGUAUAGGGGAGCCGCAGGGAAACCGAGUCUUAACCGGGCGUUAAGUUGCAGGGUAUAGACCCGAAACCCGGUGAUCUAGCCAUGGGCAGGUUGAAGGUUGGGUAACACUAACUGGAGGACCGAACCGACUAAUGUUGAAAAAUUAGCGGAUGACCUGUGGCUGGGGGUGAAAGGCCAAUCAAACCGGGAGAUAGCUGGUUCUCCCCGAAAGCUAUUUAGGUAGCGCCUCGUGAAUUCAUCUCCGGGGGUAGAGCACUGUUUCGGCUAGGGGGCCAUCCCGGCUUACCAACCCGAUGCAAACUGCGAAUACCGGAGAAUGUUAUCACGGGAGACACACGGCGGGUGCUAACGUCCGUCGUGAAGAGGGAAACAACCCAGACCGCCAGCUAAGGUCCCAAAGUCAUGGUUAAGUGGGAAACGAUGUGGGAAGGCCCAGACAGCCAGGAUGUUGGCUUAGAAGCAGCCAUCAUUUAAAGAAAGCGUAAUAGCUCACUGGUCGAGUCGGCCUGCGCGGAAGAUGUAACGGGGCUAAACCAUGCACCGAAGCUGCGGCAGCGAACGUAUCACUUAAAGCGAUUCAGCGGGUUACGAUUGACGGAGCGAAGCGACGUCAAAGCGUAUACAAAGUCGAGUCGGUUUAAGGAUACGUUCGUUGGGUAGGGGAGCGUUCUGUAAGCCUGUGAAGGUGUGUCGUGAGGCAUGCUGGAGGUAUCAGAAGUGCGAAUGCUGACAUAAGUAACGAUAAAGCGGGUGAAAAGCCCGCUCGCCGGAAGACCAAGGGUUCCUGUCCAACGUUAAUCGGGGCAGGGUGAGUCGACCCCUAAGGCGAGGCCGAAAGGCGUAGUCGAUGGGAAACGGGUUAAUAUUCCCGUACUUGGUGUUACUGCGAAGGGGGGACGGAGAAGGCUAUGUUGGCCGGGCGACGGUUGUCCCGGUUUAAGCGUGUAGGCUGGUUUUCCAGGCAAAUCCGGAAAAUCAAGGCUGAGGCGUGAUGACGAGGCACUACGGUGCUGAAGCAACAAAUGCCCUGCUUCCAGGAAAAGCCUCUAAGCAUCAGGUAACAUCAAAUCGUACCCCAAACCGACACAGGUGGUCAGGUAGAGAAUACCAAGGCGCUUGAGAGAACUCGGGUGAAGGAACUAGGCAAAAUGGUGCCGUAACUUCGGGAGAAGGCACGCUGACACGUAGGUGAAGUGAUUUACUCAUGGAGCUGAAGUCAGUCGAAGAUACCAGCUGGCUGCAACUGUUUAUUAAAAACACAGCACUGUGCAAACACGAAAGUGGACGUAUACGGUGUGACGCCUGCCCGGUGCCGGAAGGUUAAUUGAUGGGGUCAGCGCAAGCGAAGCUCCUGAUCGAAGCCCCGGUAAACGGCGGCCGUAACUAUAACGGUCCUAAGGUAGCGAAAUUCCUUGUCGGGUAAGUUCCGACCUGCACGAAUGGCGUAAUGAUGGCCAGGCUGUCUCCACCCGAGACUCAGUGAAAUUGAACUCGCUGUGAAGAUGCAGUGUACCCGCGGCAAGACGGAAAGACCCCGUGAACCUUUACUAUAGCUUGACACUGAACAUUGAGCCUUGAUGUGUAGGAUAGGUGGGAGGCUUUGAAGUGUGGACGCCAGUCUGCAUGGAGCCGACCUUGAAAUACCACCCUUUAAUGUUUGAUGUUCUAACGUGGACCCGUAAUCCGGGUUGCGGACAGUGUCUGGUGGGUAGUUUGACUGGGGCGGUCUCCUCCUAAAGAGUAACGGAGGAGCACGAAGGUUGGCUAAUCCUGGUCGGACAUCAGGAGGUUAGUGCAAUGGCAUAAGCCAGCUUGACUGCGAGCGUGACGGCGCGAGCAGGUGCGAAAGCAGGUCAUAGUGAUCCGGUGGUUCUGAAUGGAAGGGCCAUCGCUCAACGGAUAAAAGGUACUCCGGGGAUAACAGGCUGAUACCGCCCAAGAGUUCAUAUCGACGGCGGUGUUUGGCACCUCGAUGUCGGCUCAUCACAUCCUGGGGCUGAAGUAGGUCCCAAGGGUAUGGCUGUUCGCCAUUUAAAGUGGUACGCGAGCUGGGUUUAGAACGUCGUGAGACAGUUCGGUCCCUAUCUGCCGUGGGCGCUGGAGAACUGAGGGGGGCUGCUCCUAGUACGAGAGGACCGGAGUGGACGCAUCACUGGUGUUCGGGUUGUCAUGCCAAUGGCACUGCCCGGUAGCUAAAUGCGGAAGAGAUAAGUGCUGAAAGCAUCUAAGCACGAAACUUGCCCCGAGAUGAGUUCUCCCUGAGACUUUAGGUCUCCUGAAGGAACGUUGAAGACGACGACGUUGAUAGGCCGGGUGUGUAAGCGCAGCGAUGCGUUGAGCUAACCGGUACUAAUGAACCGUGAGGCUUAACCUU
rnacentral:rRNA from 2 species